ensembl:lncRNA
AUCAACUCAAAGUUCAUCUUUUCAGAGAGGGCUGUUCUAACAACAUUAUUAUUUUAAUUUCCUUACUCUGAAACAUUUAUUUUUAUAAAACUUCAUCUUUGGAUAUAUAUCUCUAUCAAGAGUUAUAACUAUAGAUAUAUGUAGCUGUGGACAUAUAUAGUAUUACAUAUGUAUAUGUAUAUAAAUUCUAUCUAUGUAUGUUAUCUCCUUAUCUACAAUAUUAGCUUCCUGAAGGAACAAAUAUUAUAUGCUUUGUCUGACUCUAUAUUCCCAAACCUGGAACAAUAUCUGGCUCAUAGAAGAAACAAUAAUAAAUUUAAAGAAAAUAAUGCACAUUUAUUAAUGAAAAUGUAUAAAGUAAAAAAUGUGGGGCCAGGCCAACCAUCUCAUUUUACAGAAGAAAGAGAGGAUGCUCAAAAAUGAAAUGACUACUCAGAGGUUCAUAGGUAGUACAGCAUCCCUGUGUAUCUCUGUGCACUGUCUUUUUCUUUUCUACUAUAGGGAGUAGAGAAUAAUUGGGAGUAUGAAAAUAUCCUCUGUUCAGAAACAUUCAGUGGCUGCCAUUUGUGUGCUGAAUUAACAGUUUAGGAUGCUGUAGAGAACACUUCAUACUCUGGCCUUUAUCUUCCUGCAGUACUCAUCAGAAGCUUUUCAUGGCCAUGUUCAUAAUCUUUUGUUUCUCACUUUGGGCCUUUGAUUGCAGCAAAGGUGCCAUCUUUCCACUUCAAUUCAUGUUCUUUCUUGCAUCCUAUGCAGUGAUGACUGGAUAUGACUUGUCAAAAAAGGUCUGAAGCACCCAGCCAUUUGCACUAAGGCACGGCAAUGAGGUGGUCAAUUCUCUCAAGAGGAUGAAAGCAGAGGUCAUGGGUAUCACUUCCUUACUAAAUCUGCUGCCGGGCAGGGUGCUGUCUCCCAGCUCUUGCCCCCUACUUGCUGGUUGCAGACUCCAAAGCCCUAGAAAAUGCUGAAGUCAUAAAGUACAAGGAUCCUUCAUCUUAGUACCACCAAGUUAAGGACAAUUGAUUUCUUGUGAGAAAUAGCCACUGUGAUCUGCUGUGUGAGUGAGAGAUUAAUUUCCAUUUGGUUAAGUUACUGAAAAUAUUGGGUGGACUGGCCAGAGUAGCUGGCAUUACCCAACUAAUAUAUUAUCCUAUCUAUGCAAUCUAUCUAGUAUGCUCUUCCUGCUACACGUAUCCAUCAUUCAAAGACGAGCUGAAAUGCUAUCUUCUUCAACUCUCCUCCUGCCUCCCUUCACCGCAGUUAAUAUCUUCCUUCAUUGCAAUUCCCUAGCUGUUUGUCUUGUUAUAAUUAAUUCUGCCUGUGGAAGUAUUCACCUCUAAAUUAUGAGCUUCUCUAGGCAGGAACUCUAUCUUAAUCACUUUGUACCCUCCAGAAUGUCAAACACAGUAUCUCACAAACAGUAGGUGCUCAAUAAAUGUCUGUUAUAUUAAACUGAAUGCAAUCGAAUUCAUAUAUCUGGAUGAUUAAUAUGUUUCUUUCAUUCAAGAUCUUAGGGCUGGUAUGAAAGAAAGAAAGCUAUUACUUCAGUCUGACUCUGUAACUUGGCAGAUUAGAAUGGAAUAAAAAUGUGUCCUGGAUAAAAUGAAAAUGCAUUGUUUUACAUAAGAUAUAGCAAUUUUGAGAAGUACAUUGAUUUAAUGUACUUAGGCCAGUGAAAAAUCUGUUGGUUUAAGCUAACUGCCAUUAGUUUCAAUUAAAAUGUAUUGAUUUGGGUAAAUGUUGGUUAGGAUAAAUGUUGUCUGACUCAAAAAAAAAAUUACUUAAGCUUGCCUUGCAGCACAGACAGAGGAGUCGGGCUGGCAAGUUGGAGUGGGGAGCAUAUGAGUGGGAGUCAGUGGAUUAGACCAGCAGGCAGGCAGGCACAACUUUCAUUUUCUGCAUCCUACUCCACGUGGGGAGGGCAAGAGGGGCGUGGCCUAUUAGCACAGCACAGUCCUUGGGCUUUAUAUCCUACCUAUAGUCCAUGAGUAAAGCAGCAUUGAAAGAAAAGCUUGCUUAAAUUAAAAUGCUUUUGUGGAAAGUCUAAACACAUCCAUUCUAUUCAUUUAUUUAAAAAGUGAAAUAAUUCGGUUAUCUGAGUUCAUAAUGACAAAGCAACUAGGUGUGGUUGGGGGGACUACUUUUCUCACUUUUGACAAAUGGUUUUAAUGCCUUUAUUAUGUUGAACAGUAGGACAAGCCCAUUUGUUUUGUGGUCAUAAACAAUGAAAUAUUGGCAAUUUCAUAUGUUCCAACCUAAUAGAUCUUGCCCAAGGGUCAUUAGAGAAAGAAAUAGAUUGCAAUUUGCUCUCAUUGAUAUAUUUAAUUGUAGUUAUUUGUUUCCCUUUCUGAUCUUUAAGAUCAAGGAAAAUGUACAUACACAUUCCAAUACACACACAGAUAUAUGUACACAGUAUCAGGUAUCUGUUUGUUCUGUAUCUUUUUUCUCUGCAUUUCUGAUCCCAAGGAGAGAAGUACCCGGAACAUAAUAUGGAGAAGGAAGGGAAGAAAUACGGGCAGAGAGAUCGAAGUCGCUCUUACACUAGCAUAUAUGUGAAGGUUCAUCUUUAACAUCAUACAGAUUCCACAGAUUCAGGAUAUCAGGAGCAUGCAACUUUUUAUAAAAAAAGAGGCUUCAAAUUGUUCUCCUAGACCCACUGACUUCAGAAGGAUCCGUAACGACAUCAAGCUCACCUUGCCUUCCAGAACAGCCAUUAAGAAAAUACCUUACCAAGAAAAAUGUCACCUGAAUCUAAAUGAGGCAUAAAAGAAAAUUUCUUAACUUCUUUUUUUAGGUUUCCCCAAAAUGUAUCCAGUUUGCCACUACAGACAUUUUUUUAAUUUCAAACCUAAAAUCUGUUGAAAUGUAUUUCUUUAUUUUUUCUGAAUUAGAGUUUUUAUAGAAGUCAUUUUCUAAGUUCAAAUCUAUGAACCGUUUAAUGCAAAUAACGGGACUAAAGAAUAUUGUAUUUAAUGUGGAAUCAAAGGAGAAUCUUCCACUCACUGGUAAACACUAAUAUAUUUCCAUAACUUUUAAUUAAAUACUCAAGUACAGAAAAGAAAUAUUUUAAAACAAAAACAUUUUUAAAGAUUCAUGUGCAAAGAAACAUCAUCAUUUCUAAAGUAUUUCAUGGAACUCAUGUACAGUAAAUUUCAAUUAUUCCUGCUAAGGGAGGACAUUUAAUCUGCACAGAGAUAUGAAAAGUACAUCCAGUAAUUUCAAGUGCCUUCACUACAAUUUUAUGAGAGUGAUAUCUGAAUUGACUUUUGCAACUGCCCUUUUUCUUCAGUCUAUGUCCCCUGGUUAACCGUAGCUCCUAUCAUAUUGACAUGGUUAAAAGAGAGAAAGGAAAAAAAAGAUACAGGAAAACUACAGAGAAUGUAUAAUCUACAAAUUGAAUUAUAGUCAAAUAUCAAUCUUAAGGGCCAAAAUAUUACAAAAAUACUUCUCUGUUAGAUAGAGUUUGAUGGAAGAAGAGACCUUUCUGAACCCAUCAAUUCCUACUUAAUACCCUGCAACUUAAAAACCACUCAGCUCUUUAUAAAAACUAAUUCCACAUUUGGCUUGCAUGAUAUGAUACUUGUGAAAAAUGUCCAUGGCUGGAAAAAUACAUUAUCUCCAUUAUUCUAUUGAGAUAAACACAUUUUAC